GGGUUGUGAGGUUAAGCGACUAAGCGUACACGGUGGAUGCCCUGGCAGUCAGAGGCGAUGAAGGACGUGCUAAUCUGCGAUAAGCGUCGGUAAGGUGAUAUGAACCGUUAUAACCGGCGAUUUCCGAAUGGGGAAACCCAGUGUGAUUCGUCACACUAUCAUUAACUGAAUCCAUAGGUUAAUGAGGCGAACCGGGGGAACUGAAACAUCUAAGUACCCCGAGGAAAAGAAAUCAACCGAGAUUCCCCCAGUAGCGGCGAGCGAACGGGGAGCAGCCCAGAGCCUGAAUCAGUGUGUGUGUUAGUGGAAGCGUCUGGAAAGGCGCGCGAUACAGGGUGACAGCCCCGUACACAAAAAUGCACAUACUGUGAGCUCGAUGAGUAGGGCGGGACACGUGGUAUCCUGUCUGAAUAUGGGGGACCAUCCUCCAAGGCUAAAUACUCCUGACUGACCGAUAGUGAACCAGUACCGUGAGGGAAAGGCGAAAAGAACCCCGGCGAGGGGAGUGAAAAAGAACCUGAAACCGUGUACGUACAAGCAGUGGGAGCCUCUUAAUGGGGUGACUGCGUACCUUUUGUAUAAUGGGUCAGCGACUUAUAUUCUGUAGCAAGGUUAACCGAAUAGGGGAGCCGAAGGGAAACCGAGUCUUAACUGGGCGUUAAGUUGCAGGGUAUAGACCCGAAACCCGGUGAUCUAGCCAUGGGCAGGUUGAAGGUUGGGUAACACUAACUGGAGGACCGAACCGACUAAUGUUGAAAAAUUAGCGGAUGACUUGUGGCUGGGGGUGAAAGGCCAAUCAAACCGGGAGAUAGCUGGUUCUCCCCGAAAGCUAUUUAGGUAGCGCCUCGUGAAUUCAUCUCCGGGGGUAGAGCACUGUUUCGGCAAGGGGGUCAUCCCGACUUACCAACCCGAUGCAAACUGCGAAUACCGGAGAAUGUUAUCACGGGAGACACACGGCGGGUGCUAACGUCCGUCGUGAAGAGGGAAACAACCCAGACCGCCAGCUAAGGUCCCAAAGUCAUGGUUAAGUGGGAAACGAUGUGGGAAGGCCCAGACAGCCGGGAUGUUGGCUUAGAAGCAGCCAUCAUUUAAAGAAAGCGUAAUAGCUCACUGGUCGAGUCGGCCUGCGCGGAAGAUGUAACGGGGCUAAACCAUGCACCGAAGCUGCGGCAGCGACACUAUGUGUUGUUGGGUAGGGGAGCGUUCUGUAAGCCUGCGAAGGUGUACUGUGAGGUAUGCUGGAGGUAUCAGAAGUGCGAAUGCUGACAUAAGUAACGAUAAAGCGGGUGAAAAGCCCGCUCGCCGGAAGACCAAGGGUUCCUGUCCAACGUUAAUCGGGGCAGGGUGAGUCGACCCCUAAGGCGAGGCCGAAAGGCGUAGUCGAUGGGAAACAGGUUAAUAUUCCUGUACUUGGUGUUACUGCGAAGGGGGGACGGAGAAGGCUAUGUUGGCCGGGCGACGGUUGUCCCGGUUUAAGCGUGUAGGCUGGUUUUCCAGGCAAAUCCGGAAAAUCAAGGCUGAGGCGUGAUGACGAGGCACUACGGUGCUGAAGCAACAAAUGCCCUGCUUCGGGGAAAAGCCUCUAAGCAUCAGGUAACAUCAAAUCGUACCCCAAACCGACACAGGUGGUCAGGUAGAGAAUACCAAGGCGCUUGAGAGAACUCGGGUGAAGGAACUAGGCAAAAUGGUGCCGUAACUUCGGGAGAAGGCACGCUGAUAUGUAGGUGAAGUCCCUCGCGGAUGGAGCUGAAAUCAGUCGAAGAUACCAGCUGGCUGCAACUGUUUAUUAAAAACACAGCACUGUGCAAACACGAAAGUGGACGUAUACGGUGUGACGCCUGCCCGGUGCCGGAAGGUUAAUUGAUGGGGUUAGCGCAAGCGAAGCUCUUGAUCGAAGCCCCGGUAAACGGCGGCCGUAACUAUAACGGUCCUAAGGUAGCGAAAUUCCUUGUCGGGUAAGUUCCGACCUGCACGAAUGGCGUAAUGAUGGCCGGGCUGUCUCCACCCGAGACUCAGUGAAAUUGAACUCGCUGUGAAGAUGCAGUGUACCCGCGGCAAGACGGAAAGACCCCGUGAACCUUUACUAUAGCUUGACACUGAACAUUGAGCCUUGAUGUGUAGGAUAGGUGGGAGGCUUUGAAGUGUGGACGCCAGUCUGCAUGGAGCCGACCUUGAAAUACCACCCUUUAAUGUUUGAUGUUCUAACGUUGGCCCCUGAUCGGGGUUGCGGACAGUGUCUGGUGGGUAGUUUGACUGGGGCGGUCUCCUCCUAAAGAGUAACGGAGGAGCACGAAGGUUGGCUAAUCCUGGUCGGACAUCAGGAGGUUAGUGCAAUGGCAUAAGCCAGCUUGACUGCGAGCGUGACGGCGCGAGCAGGUGCGAAAGCAGGUCAUAGUGAUCCGGUGGUUCUGAAUGGAAGGGCCAUCGCUCAACGGAUAAAAGGUACUCCGGGGAUAACAGGCUGAUACCGCCCAAGAGUUCAUAUCGACGGCGGUGUUUGGCACCUCGAUGUCGGCUCAUCACAUCCUGGGGCUGAAGUAGGUCCCAAGGGUAUGGCUGUUCGCCAUUUAAAGUGGUACGCGAGCUGGGUUUAGAACGUCGUGAGACAGUUCGGUCCCCUAUCUGCCGUGGGCGCUGGAGAACUGAGGGGGGCUGCUCCUAGUACGAGAGGACCGGAGUGGACGCAUCACUGGUGUUCGGGUUGUCAUGCCAAUGGCACUGCCCGGUAGCUAAAUGCGGAAGAGAUAAGUGCUGAAAGCAUCUAAGCACGAAACUUGCCCCGAGAUGAGUUCUCCCUGACUCCCUGAGAGUCCUGAAGGAACGUUGAAGACGACGACGUUGAUAGGCCGGGUGUGUAAGCGCAGCGAUGCGUUGAGCUAACCGGUACUAAUGAACCGUGAGGCUUAACCUUACAACGCCGAAGCUGUU
rnacentral:rRNA from 1 species